rnacentral:rRNA from 1 species
CUGGCCCUAGGCCCGAGUUGUAAUUUGCAGAGGAUGCUUUUGGUGCGGUGCCUUCCAAGUUCCCUAGAACGGGACGCCAGAGAGGGUGAGAGCCCCGUACAGUUGGACACCAAGCCUUUGUAAAGCUCCUUCGACGAGUCGAGUAGUUUGGGAAUGCUGCUCAAAAUGGGAGGUAUAUUUCUUCUAAAGCUAAAUACCGGCCAGAGACCGAUAGCGCACAAGUAGAGUGAUCGAAAGAUGAAAAGCACUUUGAAAAGAGGGUUAAACAGCACGUGAAAUUGUUAAAAGGGAAGCGCUUGUGACCAGACUUGCGUCCGGUGAAUCACCCAGCUCUCGCGGCUGGGGCACUUCGCCGGCUCAGGCCAGCAUCAGCUCGCUGUCGGGGACAAAAGCUUCAGGAACGUAGCUCUCUUCGGGGAGUGUUAUAGCCUGUUGCAUAAUACCCUUCGGCGGGCUGAGGUACGCGCUCCGCAAGGAUGCUGGCAUAAUGGUCAUCAGCGACCCGUCUUGAAACACGGACCAAGGAGUCAACCUUAUGUGCGAGUGUUCGGGUGUCAAACCCCUACGCGUAAUGAAAGUGAACGCAGGUGAGAGCUUCGGCGCAUCAUCGACCGAUCCUGAUGUUCUCGGAUGGAUUUGAGUAAGAGCAUAUAGGGUUGGACCCGAAAGAAGGUGAACUAUGCGUGUAUAGGGUGAAGCCAGAGGAAACUCUGGUGGAGGCUCGCAGCGGUUCUGACGUGCAAAUCGAUCGUCAAAUAUGCGCAUGGGGGCGAAAGACUAAUCGAACCUUCUAGUAGCUGGUUUCCGCCGAAGUUUCCCUCAGGAUAGCAGUGUUGAACUCAGUUUUAUGAGGUAAAGCGAAUGAUUAGGGACUCGGGGGCGCUAUAUUGCCUUCAUCCAUUCUCAAACUUUAAAUAUGUAAGAAGCCCUUGUUACUUAAUUGAACGUGGGCAUUCGAAUGUAUCAACACUAGUGGGCCAUUUUUGGUAAGCAGAACUGGCGAUGCGGGAUGAACCGAACGCGAGGUUAAGGUGCCAGAGUAGACGCUCAUCAGACACCACAAAAGGUGUUAGUACAUCUUGACAGCAGGACGGUGGCCAUGGAAGUCGGAAUCCGCUAAGGACUGUGUAACAACUCACCUGCCGAAUGUACUAGCCCUGAAAAUGGAUGGCGCUCAAGCGUCUCACCCA